rnacentral:rRNA from 1 species
GGAAUUGUUCGCAAUGGGCGCAAGCCUGACGACGCAACGCCGCGUGGAGGACGAAGAUCUUCGGGUCGUAAACUCCUUUCGAUCGGGAAGAACGGCUUCCGGGUGAAUAAUCCGGGAGAGUGACGGUACCCAGAGAAGAAGCCCCGGCUAACUCCGUGCCAGCAGCCGCGGUAAUACGGGGGGGGCAAGCGUUGUUCGGAAUUACUGGGCGUAAAGGGCUCGUAGGUGGCCAACUAAGUCAACCGUGAAAUCCCUCGGCUUAACCGGGGAACUGCGUUUGAUACUGGAUGGCUUGAGUUUGGGAGAGGGAUGCGGAAUUCCAGGUGUAGCGGUGAAAUGCGUAGAUAUCUGGAGGAACACCGGUGGCGAAGGCGGCAUCCUGGACCAAUACUGACGCUGAGGAGCGAAAGCCAGGGGAGCAAAC